rnacentral:lncRNA from 1 species
AGAAAAGUCUUUGAUAUAUCCAUAGGAUAAUUCAGAUUUUAAUUCAUUUUAAAAACAAAGAAAUAUGAGGAAACAUUAUAUUCUUAUGUAGUUUAUAUAUAUAUUUUUUUUACAGAUCAGGCUCGGGUCAGACUCAGGCUCAUUUAGCUUCACACCUUUUAUUGUGCCCAUAUACGUGCAGAACACACUACUGUAUGAAAUAUUGUUAUAUUGAAUAUAUUAUCAGAAUCAGAAUCAGAAUCAGAAUCAGAAAGAGCUUUAUUGCCAAGUAUGCUUGCGCAUACAAGGAAUUUGUUUAGUGACAUAAGCUUCCAGUACACAAAAGCAACAACACACAGUCAAAAAAAAUAAAAAUAAAAACCCUUUGCAGAUAAAUAAGUGUAUAAACAAUUGUGCUAUAAAUGAUAAUGGAAUUGGAUUGAGUAAGAUGCAGGGAUGUACUAGGAUGAAGGGGUAACAAAUAAAUAUAAGGAUAUUGCACAUUUUUAUUGUAUAAGUGGGGAACAUUUAGUACACAAAAGACAACAACACACACGUCAAAAAAAAAUAAAAAAUAAAAACCCUUUGCAGAUAAAUAAGUGUAUAAACAAUUGUGCUAUAAAUGAUAAUGGAAUUGGAUUGAGUAAGAUGCAGGGAUGUACUAGGAUGAAGGGGUAACAAAUAAAUAUAAGGAUAUUGCACAUUUUUAUUGUAUAAGUGGGGAACAUUUAACUGUUCAUGAGGUAGAUUGCCUGGGGGAAGAAGUUGUUCUUGUGCCUGACUGUCCUGGUAUUUGCGGCUCUGAAGCGCUGGCCAGAUGGCAAAAGUUCAAAGAUGGGGUAACUUGGGUGUGAGGGAUCCAGAGUGAUUUUCUGAGCCCUUUUCCUCACUCUGGAUGUAUACAGUUCUUGAAGGGUGGGCAGGGGAGUACCAAUAAUCCUUUCAGCAGUCCGAACCGUUCUCUGUAGUCUUCUGAUGUCUGAUUUUGUAGCUGAAUCAAACCAGACAGUUAUUGAAGUGAGUAUUGUUUGAUAAAACAGUUAUUGAGUGAGAUUGUUUGAUAAAACCCAAAUGAGAUCUUUGGGAGAAGCCAAGACUGGUGGCAGUCUCGCAAUAGGCUUGUAUAACAUUAACAGUGUUGAAUCUUAAGAAAUGCUAAUUAACUAUAAAUGCUAAUGCCAGCCAUUGCCUCAU